ACCUUGUGACCUUUCAGCCAUUUGUAUGUGACAUAUUUGGUCACGUUUCUUCGUUUGCAUGCUGAUUUGGACUGUGUGUCUGACUCUCCUCAAAACUCCAGCGAGCCUCCCUGGUGCAUUUUAAGUUGGCACAGCUGGCAGAACCCACUGCGCUGCUCGCAUUUCUGGAUCUGAAACAGCCGGAGGGUGGCUCUGUCCAGCUCUCUGAGAGAAACAGAAAACAGAAGCAACAGUGUUUACCCUCUCACAAUUCACCAUACAGUUGGGAGGUAAGACACAAUGCAAGGGGAAAUUAUAGUGGUUCCUCUUUUCAUGGGGGCGGGGUAGGUUUUAAGAUCCCAGUGAAACUUAAAUUAGUAUAGACAUUUUUAAUUAAUUUUUGAGACAGGGUAUCAUUGCAGCCCAGGUUGGUCUUGAACUCCUGAGCCUCUAGCUUCCACUUCCUGACAGCUGGGAUCCGAGGAGUGUACUACCACGCCCAGCUUUUAAGUGACGUUUUAGAGAUCGAUUUUAUAGUAAUCUUUAUCAAGAGUAAUUAGUCUGCAUUGCAGAGGGAAGGGUUGAUGCUUCAGGACAGGAUAGUCAGAGAAGUAAGAUUUAGCCCGGGGAAGUUGGCAGGGGCUGGGAAGCGAGGUAUUUCCAGAUAGAAAGUCGAGAGAGAAAACUGAUGCAUGGGGAAUAUUGGCUCCUGGACACUUUAAUUCACCAGUGGGAAAGCUUCUAGUGGAGAGAGCUUCCCCAAGCCUCCACAGUCCUAAAACUUCAGAGUGUUGCCUUCGGUGAGCAAAGGAGGCAGUUCUGGACCAAAGGCCUUCCCCUUGUUUAUGCGGGGUCACUGGGGAUGAAGAAUGGAUGCUCUUUCCUCAAGCGUGCACUGCUGGCUUCUAGCAGGUGGCUCUCACCCAGGUCCCUGAGCCUCUUGCCACCCAUCGUCCCCUUUUGUCAUCUUGUAAAUGGUUCACUGUGGUGAUAUUGUGUUCCCCAAAAUACUGUGCACCCUAAUAAACUCAUCUGGGGUCAGAGACAGA